UACGGAGGGGGCUAGCGUUGUUCGGAAUUACUGGGCGUAAAGCGCGCGUAGGCGGAUCUGCAAGUCGGGGGUGAAAUCCCGAGGCUCAACCUCGGAACUGCCUUCGAUACUGCGGGUCUCGAGUCCGGGAGAGGUGAGUGGAAUUCCUAGUGUAGAGGUGAAAUUCGUAGAUAUUAGGAAGAACACCAGUGGCGAAGGCGGCUCACUGGCCCGGUACUGACGCUGAGGCGGCGAAA
rnacentral:rRNA from 1 species